rnacentral:lncRNA from 1 species
ACUUUCAAUAAAGAAUAGAAUAUUUGAAUAUGUAUGUAUAUAAUUUAUUUAUUUUUCUAAUAUUAAAUGCAUAUUAUUUUUAAUUUCAAUUUUUGCAGAUUAUCCAGGGAAUAAUUUGACUAUCCCUGUUAAUCGGGAAUCUACUGUGUAGGAAUUUUUAUUAGGGAUUUACUCAUUGUAAUAUUGUAACUUCAAAAAUUCAGUACUUUUAUAAUUUUUGUCUUAUAUUUAAAAUUAUAUUUUUUUUCAUAACACAAGCAUUUAAGAAUUAUUUGAAUAUAAAUUUAAUCCUUUUUUUUUUCUUUCUAGGAUAAUCUUGUUCCAUUGACAGUCAGGAUAAAGACAACUGACAGUCUUCAGUUAUUAGCUUGAGAUUAUAGGAAGCCAACUGAAUAAUUCAAUACAAUUCUUGUUGAACAAGUGGAUUAUACUCUUACUGGUAAUCAUACGGCUCAUCAGUUAAGACUGUUACUUCAUAGAUGCUGCCAGAUUGCCACGAUUGUGUUAAUUUUGACCAACCCUCAAAUUUUUCCAUUCAUUCAGUACAGAAUCUCGUAAGGGACCAGUAGUAGGUCCGCUGUAUUUAUUUGUCAUCGUCAUUACUCUAAGGGGGUAUUGGUGUUGUUGGCAACUCUGCUGUGUUCCGGAAGUUUAUCUUUACUUGCUGUUGGAUGCAUUAUUUUCAUUGUUGCUGCACAACAUUGCAAAGAAACAUUACUCAGUAUUGCAAACCAAAUGUUUUUUUACUUUGCCGACUUUAAUUGUUGUUCAUGGGUUUUAGUUGUAUUGCUGAUAAACUAAUCCGAUUUCAGGUUAACACAUCUUUAUAAUGUACAGUUUGAAUGGUUGUUUCAGAUGUGUAAACUAUUGAAAUUACAAACAAACACAAAAGAAAAAAAUCCUCUGCAGUUUGCAAUGUUGAUGCAGUAACACUGAUGAAAAGAAAGGAACUAACCUAUGGACCAUUGCGGAAAUAUUCAGCAUCUGUUAUGCCCUCUCGUGGUGCAACUGUUAAGAUUAUCUCUCUCUGAGAUAUUUGCAAGGUGCAGGAGUUACUGUUUUUCCCCUAAUCUUUUUAAUUUUUUUUUACUACAGGCACUUUAUAUAGAUAAUAGAUUAUUCCCACCCUCAGUCUCAUAUUCUGACUUGGGUAGUAAUUAAUUAGUACUAUUCUGGGAUAAGGGUAGAUACUAGAACAGAACCAUCCAUGGCUUUCACAAAGCCUAUUGUAAUUUUUUCUUUUUACAUAGUACAACACAGUGUCUUUGUUCACAUGAAUUUUUUGUCUUGUCAACUUUGUUGCAUCUUAACUGUACAAGUUGUAAGUUUCCAGCAACAGUGUCAGGAAAGAUUACCAUUGUUUUUCCAGUUUUUUUCUUUGUGUGUUAUAUAAAGUGUACAAGAUCUCCUUCCCUGGGCAACAAAUCACCAGUAACUUCACUGCCACCUAUCUCAAAAUGAGUCUAGGACCUGUUUAUUGUAGACUGUUCUGUCAAAAGACAGCAGUAUGUUUGUCCAGCCGUGGAGAUGAGUUUAUCAAUAAAUGAUGUUAUUACUCUGAUGGGUUUUUUAUUUUCUCCAAUAAAAUUCAUUUUUUUACACAC